UUGGGCUCCGUGCUCAGUGAUGAGUCUGCCUCAACAUCCUCUCCCUCUGCCCCUCUCCCGGCUUGUGCUUGCACACUGUGUGCUGUCUUAGAAAGAACCAAGUACCUAUCAACAAUUUCAUCUACACACUCCAAUCACUUAACUUAAAAUGACCAAGAUUUAACGAGUGCACUGAACUAAUGGCACUUAAUUGAGUCCUAGCCCUGGAAAGUUCCUCAUUUUCUUACCAAUCUCCUAGCUCAAGUCCCUCAUUGCACAGAAGGGGAGACCCAAAGGGCCAACGAAAGCUAGGACUUCCCAAAGUCUGGGUCUCAACUCCCAGGGCUUUUUCCCACCAAAUAUAGGCCUUAGGAUCUCCACUGUAGAUAAGCAACAAAAAGGUAUGAGGUUAGUCUGAAUUGCUUCAAAUGUCCGGAAUGGCUGUCUGGCUCCCAAGCCUCCCAAUGAAAGAAAAAAAAAAAAGUGAACCCUGGGUCCUAGAUCUCAUUAAGCUUCGAGACCCAUCUCCUGCCCUCCUAGUGCAGCACACCUCUCUGCUCUCACUCCAGCCCCCCGCCUGCCCAUUCCCAGGUUAAGCUCGUUCCCACCGCUGGACGCCUGCUUCCCUCAGACAUCCUCCACCCAUGCUCUCUCCAUGUGUCUGCUUAAAUUUUACCUGUCAGUGAGGUCUUCCCACCACUCUGUGUCCCUCACUCCAGAUUUCUCCUUACCACUUAUCACUGCUGGACGUGUUAAAUAUUUAUUGUCCCUUCUCAAUUCCCACAUCCUCCCCUCCUACAAGACUGGUGGUUCCUUAAAAGUCAGGGGCUUCAUGGGACGCCUGGGUGGCGCAGUUGG